rnacentral:rRNA from 1 species
AUACGAAGGGUGCAAGCGUUACUCGGAAUUACUGGGCGUAAAGCGUGCGUAGGUGGUUGUUUAAGUCUGUCGUGAAAGCCCUGGGCUCAACCUGGGAAUGGCGAUGGAAACUGGGCGACUAGAGUGUGGCAGAGGGUAAUGGAAUUCCUGGUGUAGCAGUGAAAUGCGUAGAGAUCAGGAGGAACAUCCGUGGCGAAGGCGCCUGCCUGGGCCAACACUGACACUGAGGCACGAAAGCGUGGGGAGCAAACAGGAUUAGAUACCCUGGUAGUCCACGCCCUAAACGAUGCGAACUGGAUGUUGGGUGCAAUUUGGCACGCAGUAUCGAAGCUAACGCGUUAAGUUCGCCGCCUGGGGAGUACGGUCGCAAGACUGAAACUUAAAUGAAUUGGCGGGG